UACGUAGGGGGCAAGCGUUGUCCGGAAUCAUUGGGCGUAAAGAGCGUGUAGGCGGUUCGGUAAUUCGGCUGUGAAAGUCCAGGGCUCAACCCUGGGAUGCCGGUCGAUACUGCCGGACUAGAGUUCGGAAGAGGCGAGUGGAAUUCCCGGUGUAGCGGUGAAAUGCGCAGAUAUCGGGAGGAACACCUAUGGCGAAGGCAGCUCGCUGGGACGUUACUGACGCUGAGACGCGAAAGCGUGGGGAGCAAACAGG
rnacentral:rRNA from 1 species